GCCUGGGUGGCUCAGUCGGUUGAGUGUCUGACUUCAGCUCAGGUCAUGAUCUCACUUGCCAUCUGUGAGUUCAAGCCCCGUGUCAGGCU
rnacentral:tRNA from 1 species